AGCAGCCGCGGUAAUUCCAGCUCCAAUAGCGUAUAUUAAAGUUGUUGCAGUUAAAAAGCUCGUAGUUGAACCUUAGGCCCGUGCGGGCAGUCCGUCCUCUGGGCGAGCACUGCCUCGUCGCGGGUCUCACCUUCUGGCGAGCGUGGAUGCCAUUCAUUUGGUGUCUGCGGGAACCAGGACCUUUACCUUGAAAAAAUUAGAGUGCUCAAAGCGGGCUCUUACGCUUGAAUACAUUAGCAUGGAAUAAUGAAAUAGGACGACGGUUCUAUUUUGUUGGUUUCCGGGAUUGUCGUAAUGAUUAAUAGGGAUAGUUGGGGGCAUUCAUAUUCAAUUGUCAGAGGUGAAAUUCUUGGAUUUAUUGAAGGCGGACUACUGCGAAAGCAUUUGCCAAGGAUGUUUUCAUUAAUCAAGAACGAAAGUUGGGGGAUCGAAGACGAUCAGAUGCCGUCGUAGUCUCAACCAUAAACUAUGCCGACUGGGAAUCGGGCGAUGUUAUUUUUCGUGACUCGCUUC
rnacentral:sRNA from 1 species